UUGCGAUGUUCGGAUAGGCCUAGCCAAGACGAGGAGAAAGGGCAUGGGAAAGAAAGGAGAGCGAAGCCAAGACUCAGGGUGGCCCUCCGCGAGCGCGCUGGCCGGCCGGUCGAACUUUAGUUCUUUAAGGGUCGGCGUGAUCUCCCUUUCGCGUCGAGAUCCCGGCGGCGUCGCGGCAUGGAAUCGCAGUGGCGCCCGCGGAGUUAGUGCGGAGGUGGGGGUGGGGGUGGGGGUGGAGUGGGGGAGGAGGGCGGAGAGUGCGCGCAGCGGCAAGNNNNNGAUAGAGCGACCCUGUAGCACAAGGACGACAGAAGUGGGGCAGGGUCAGAAACCGGUAACUCCAACCCGAAGGGUUUAUUAAACAGAGAACGACGUAAAUCGAGUAGGCAGGAACCUUUACCGUCGUGGCUUCGGGUAAUGAGCGGAAUAAAGGGUACAGUAAGAACUAAACCUACCAUGGGAGAAUUUGUGUCUAACGUAACAUUCGGUCCACGACUUUGGUAAAGAACAAUUUUUACCCUUUUUCACCCUAUCGUUCUUUCGAGUGUUUAAACAACCUUUCUGUGGAAUACUUCGACGUCGACAACAAAAUCUUCUAAUGCCUGAGGGAAUGAGGUGGCUUCUCAAGGAGAGUAACUAAUUAGGUUACAAGUCGCUCGUUACCCCGUUGUAUUUUCGAGAAGGACCUCGAUUAGCCAAUUAUUUUGUAAACUUCUCGUCGUCCCACGGUCGACGAAAUCGAAGGUUGAGAAGUUCUAGUUUGUAACUCAGGUUUUAGAGCACAGUCGUUCCAACCUUUCUCAUAAAGAGACGUUAACAACCACGACUACUUCAUCUCAGUCCUUUCGGUAGGGGUCUAUAUAAAGACCUUCGACGUUUUUCCUACUUACGACUAGGAAGUUUAACGGAUCAUUAACUCCUGAGACACGGUCCUCAAUGCCGACCGUUUCGACGUCCUUACGUACAGUAUCGACAGGGAAGUCAUGGGUUUUCCUGACUACUUAAGUCAAGGCGCCUACUCUAAUAGUUAAGGGAGGAACUGAAUUCCGGACUUUUUACCCCAAACGGUGGGAAGUUACUAACCUAACUUCCGUGAAAUGGUUAUCUGGGUACCAAAUAACCACCCGGUCACUAGUUUCCUAAACCGGCACCAAGAUUUCAUGAUCCUUAUGGUUGUCGCUUGAACCGGCGUCUUUUGAAAAGGCUGUAUGACAGUCUCGUAUGUAGUCCACAUAUGAAACCCACCCGGCCUGAAAGCUUCGCUCCGUAUAUGUUCUACCAGUACUCGUAACCGACCUUGGGAAUAAAACUAUUGUGUCUCUUCUGUUAGCUUGGUACCAACGAAGUACCAAAACUACUCCUGAAAAUGCCUCUCCUCGACGCGGAACAAUAGCAACCCAUGUAUGCUGGACUCCGUUUGAAAGGAAGCGAGCUCUCGAACUAGCUCUCCUAAGUGCUCCUGCCCUCUUAGCGUCUCUUACGGGAUCUAAACGGCCUCAUACGGUUCAUGUUUCUCAACGGCAUAAACUCUUUGGGCAACGUUGUCCCACGACGAUGACCGCCCUUGCUCCGCCUCGUUCUCAAAUAUAUUCGCUGGGCUGCGAAACUUCGCGAGUCACUCUCCGGUGGCGUGUAAGAGAUGAACCCUCUAUUUUUCGUAAAGAAGACUAAGUCUUUGCUACGGCGAUAAAAUCCUCAUCGCCGCCAUGGUGACGAAUACCGGCCGAACCGGUGAACGGGUUUGUGUUUGUCCCUACAACUAACGAUAAGAUAUGACACAUAUGAACCUAAGGGUAAUAUGAUGUUAAAUAUGUUGCUCUUAACACUUCUACCGUAUGACACUCACCUUUCGAAAAUCAGUGCAUGGUAGAGAAGAGACUAUAAUGAACCAUGAUCAUGACAUGAAACAUUCGUACGUAGACUUUGAGC
rnacentral:rRNA from 1 species